ACGGUUGUUUUUUAAAUGUUGAACAACGCGCCCGCCGUAGACUCGGUAAAAGUUACAUGCUUCGACAGUUGGGAUACCACACUCGCUCGUGAUUAUUUUGUGGUGUAAUUCAAAUUUGCAAAUGCAGUCAUCCGUUAAAUCGAGCGCCCAAAUUAAAAUGAGUCACCAUAGCUUGAGGUAAGUCGAUGUUCACGGAGGAUAGCCCGGUAAAGUGAUUAAUGUACGUAACCAUCUAGAUAUACAGUUUAUGUAUCGGAGGCCAGAUGAGAGCUUGAGCAAAAGACGUUAGCGACACCCUCAUUGUAUAGCAGGCCUGUCUCCCAAAUAGGACCGUUGGAGGGUGGGAGUGAGACCCGUUACAAAAUACUAGUGUGACAAUUUCUUGACCGUGACAUCCCUAACGUUAGUUGGAUUACAUUUCUGUAUAAGUACGGUUUUAAGUGUAAGUUACUCUGUUUAAUUUGCUUAGAGUUUGUUUGUAGAGUCACUUAUACUAAAAUGUAGUUAAAAUGUAAAAUGCUUAAAGAUAAUUGUAUAGUCACUAUUAACUAUUACUAUUGUCACAUGUAUAAUUGUUUGUUUUAGGACACACUUUGCCAUGCAGGCCACUGGAUGCUGACUACUGAAGAUAUUAAUCCAGAGAGUGGAACAAGCAGCGUCAUCUAAAAUGCCAGGAUACAGAAGAAACAGGUUGCAGUGAACCCACAUGUCGCCGCUCUUCUAAACACAAUGAUGAAUAUUCAGUGUAAUCGAUGAAAAUUCCAGCUACUUGUUGUGCUCUGAUGGAUCAAGAUGUGGACCGUUUUACAGACUCACUUGGGCCUUGUUUUGCAAUGUUGUUUCAUGAUGGUAAUGUUGGUUAACGUGUUGUUUAAACAUUAAUGUUUAAAGAGCCAUGUUGGAUACUAUGAAGUUCUUACUGAAUAAAAUUAUUUCAUGUACAACAACGUACACAAUUUGUCUGUAAUGUAUUUUUGUAUCAAUUAAAAAAAAAUAAACACUGUAUAUCCAGUAUGCAAAACAUACUGGAUAUACAGUGAUUUAUGUAUUUCUUCUAAAUAAAGUAAAUUAAAAUCAAGCAAUUUGCUGUAAAAAAUACAGCAUUAUACUGUUGCUAUUCAAAAUUACAGUUUUUCCUGUAUUCUGCAAUUACAGUAAAUGGCUGUAAAUUAAAUUACAGUACUGUGGCUGUACAAUUUACAGUAACUGGCUGGCAACCCUGCUGCCAGUAGUUUACUGUAAAUUUUACAGGA